GACGUAGGGCGCGAGCGUUGUCCGGAUUUAUUGGGCGUAAAGAGCUCGUAGGCGGCUUGUCGCGUCGACUGUGAAAUCCCGCGGCUCAACUGCGGGUCUGCAGUCGAUACGGGCAGGCUAGAGUUCGGUAGGGGAGACUGGAAUUCCUGGUGUAGCGGUGAAAUGCGCAGAUAUCAGGAGGAACACCGGUGGCGAAGGCGGGUCUCUGGGCCGAUACUGACGCUGAGGAGCGAAAGCGUGGGGAGUGAACAGG
rnacentral:rRNA from 1 species